rnacentral:RNase_MRP_RNA from 11 species
CUUCGCAGCGCGCACACAGGGAGCAUGCUCCCAACGACGUUGUGGGGAAAGUCCCCGUGCGAAGUGGCAGAGAGUGUCAUCGGAAGACCGCAGAACACCAGCUCGUGGACAGGCAGUGAAGCAGAGUGCCGAGAUGCGGUCUGCGUUGGAGUUCUUCGCAACAGCACAGUCAUGCCGUGAGCGCUCACUUUAGAGCGUCAACUGAACGGGGCUCACUCUU